CUGGGUUCUAUUUGGAGGAGGGGUCAGGGCGGGGCUUAACUUAUUCCUGGAACCCAAGGGAUAAAGAACUAUGGCUGCAAUUAUUUCACCUCCAUAUUUGUGCACAUGAGCCUCCCUCUCUCCCUCUCCUUACCCCGCCACGCACACACUAACUUUAAAAGCAAAGUUUGCCUUUACUUGCUCCAUUUACUUUUAUUAAUUACAGCUUCAGGGAACCCAUCGCCGCCUCUGACCUCCGAGGGCACCAGGCAUUCGAGUGGUGUGCGGACAAGACACCCAUGUAGACCAAAGCAACUUACGGGAGGAAGGGUAUAAUUCCAGGAACCUCAGGGAUUGCGGUUCAGUUCACUCGCAGACCGAGGGCUUACAGUGCCUGGCCUGUUCCCGGGACUAGAGCAUUCCACAGAGUCAACUGAUACCUGCAGAUGCAAAACACCAUCUCUGCACUCCGCGCCACCCUUUCUCCACUGAGAACUGCAGGAUGGGUAGUCAGAAGCCAUGGGAUGGUUGGCUCCAAGGUCCCCAGCUACGCAGCGCACUGAACAGCACUUCUCUCUGUGGGGCUUUAAGCCCAAAAAGGCUGCUUGUGACUGCACACUGUUUAUGUUCAUAUCACAUCAUUUUUUUAUUUCUUGGAAUAACUGCACUGAAAGUCUCAUUACCAUCAAGACUCUGAUGAGAACGAAAACAAAACCAUCUCAGCCACAUACAAGGAGUUAACACGAGUCAACACGUUACCUCUGCUUCCUUAAAACGUCUGCGUACUUUUUUAUCUCCCACUGAACAAGAUACAGCAGCUCAGUAUAACUGAGUAGAGUUAUAUAUUCAGGCAGCUUCCGACACUGUAAGAGUAUAUUUUUACAGCUAAAGGGAAUGGCCAUCAAAGAGCAACACUCUCCGUUUUCCAGUCCUUCCCAAGAGAAAGAGCAUCAUGCUGACUGGCUCAGGGAAGUGUGGUACAAAAAAAUAAAGUAAAACAAGGAAGCAAACAGUGGCAGAUCAGCCCAUCUGCUAAGCCAUUAGGACUGCGAUGAGAUAAAUAUAAUUUAGACAGGUACCCCCAGCAUGUACUUUGAGAUAUUGUAACUAUCCAA
rnacentral:lncRNA from 1 species